rnacentral:rRNA from 1 species
GAAUAUUGGACAAUGGGCGCAAGCCUGAUCCAGCCAUGCCGCGUGAGUGAUGAAGGUCUUAGGAUUGUAAAGCUCUUUCACCGGAGAAGAUAAUGACGGUAUCCGGAGAAGAAGCCCAGGCUAACUUCGUGCCAGCAGCCGCGGUAAUACGAAGGGGGCUAGCGUUGUUCGGAAUUACUGGGCGUAAAGCGCACGUAGGCGGAUAUUUAAGUCAGGUGUGAAAUCCCAGAGCUCAACUCUGGAACUGCCUUUGAUACUGGGUAUCUUGAGUAUGGAAGAGGUAAGUGGAAUUCCGAGUGUAGAGGUGAAAUUCGUAGAUAUUCGGAGGAACACCAGUGGCGAAGGCGGCUUACUGGUCCAUUACUGACGCUCAGGGACGAAAGCGUGGGGAGCAAACAGG